rnacentral:rRNA from 1 species
GGUCAAGCGAAUAAGCGCACACGGUGGAUGCCUAGGCGGUCAGAGGCGAUGAAGGACGUGGUAGCCUGCGAAAAGUGUCGGGGAGCUGGCAACAAGCUUUGAUCCGGCAAUAUCCGAAUGGGGAAACCCACUGCUUCGGCAGUAUCCUGCAGUGAAUUCAUAGCUGCUGGAAGCGAACCCGGUGAACUGAAAUAUCUAAGUAACCGGAGGAAAAGAAAUCAACCGAGAUUCCCUAAGUAGUGACGAGCGAACGGGGAACAGCCCUUAAGCUGGAAUGGCUUUAGAAAAACAAUCUGGAAAGAUUGGCCAUAGAAGGUGAUAGCCCUGUAUUUAAAAGGGCCACUCCAGUGAAGACGAGUAGGGCGGGGCACGUGAAACCCUGUCUGAAUAUGGGGGGACCAUCCUCCAAGGCUAAAUACUCCUGACCGACCGAUAGUGAACCAGUACCGUGAGGGAAAGGCGAAAAGAACCCCGGAGAGGGGAGUGAAAUAGAUCCUGAAACCGUGUGCGUACAAGCAGUAGGAGCUCGCAAGAGUGACUGCGUACCUUUUGUAUAAUGGGUCAGCGACUUACUGUUCGUGGCAAGCUUAACCGUAUAGGGGAGGCGAAGGGAAACCGAGUCUGAUAAGGGCGCAUAGUCGCGGGCAGUAGACCCGAAACCGGGUGAUCUAGUCAUGGCCAGGGUGAAGGUGCCGUAACAGGUACUGGAGGCCCGAACCCACGUCUGUUGCAAAAGACGGGGAUGAGCUGUGAUUAGGAGUGAAAAGCUAAUCGAACCCGGAGAUAGCUGGUUCUCCUCGAAAGCUAUUUAGGUAGCGCCUCGGACGAAUACUACUGGGGGUAGAGCACUGUUAUGGCUAGGGGGUCAUCGCGACUUACCAAACCAUUGCAAACUCCGAAUACCAGUACGUACUAUCCGGGAGACACACGGCGGGUGCUAACGUCCGUCGUGAAAAGGGAAACAACCCAGACCCACAGCUAAGGUCCCAAAUUCACUGCUAAGUGGAAAACGAUGUGGAAAGGCAUAGACAGCCAGGAGGUUGGCUUAGAAGCAGCCACCCUUUAAAGAAAGCGUAAUAGCUCACUGGUCGAGUCGGUCUGCGCGGAAGAUUUAACGGGGCUAAGCAGUGAACCGAAGCUUGGGGUGCGUAAAACUUCGGUUUUAUGCGCGGUAGAGGAGCGUUCCGUAAGCCUGCGAAGGUGGAUUGAGAAGUCCGCUGGAGGUAUCGGAAGUGCGAAUGCUGACAUGAGUAACGAUAAUGCGGGUGAAAAGCCCGCACGCCGAAAGCCCAAGGUUUCCUUGCGCAACGUUAAUCGACGCAGGGUUAGUCGGUCCCUAAGGCGAGGGCGAAAGCCGUAGUCGAUGGGAAGCAGGUUAAUAUUCCUGCACCUCGCGUGAGUGCGAUGGAGGGACGGAGAAGGUUAGGUGUACCGGGCGUUGGUUGUCCCGGGGAAAGGCGGUAGGUUUGGAUCUUUGGCAAAUCCGGGAUCCUUUAAGACCGAGCACCGAGACGAGCCUUUAUGGCGAAGUCACUGAUACCACGCUUCCAGGAAAAGCUCCUAAGCUUCAGCUCACGAAGACCGUACCGUAAACCGACACAGGUGGGUAGGAUGAGAAUUCUCAGGCGCUUGAGAGAACUCGGGUGAAGGAACUAGGCAACAUGGCACCGUAACUUCGGGAGAAGGUGCACCCUUUUUGGUGGCUCAUGCGAGCUAUAGCUGAAGAGGGUCGCAGAAACCAGGCCGCUGCGACUGUUUAUCAAAAACACAGCACUCUGCAAACACGAAAGUGGACGUAUAGGGUGUGACGCCUGCCCGGUGCUGGAAGGUUAAUUGAUGGGGUCAGCCGCAAGGUGAAGCUCUUGAUCGAAGCCCCAGUAAACGGCGGCCGUAACUAUAACGGUCCUAAGGUAGCGAAAUUCCUUGUCGGGUAAGUUCCGACCUGCACGAAUGGCGUAACGACAGCGGCGCUGUCUCCACCCGAGACUCAGUGAAAUUGAAAUCGCUGUGAAGAUGCAGCGUUCCCGUGGCAAGACGGAAAGACCCCGUGAACCUUUACUAUAGCUUUACACUGAACGUUGAGUUCGUCUGUGUAGGAUAGGUGGGAGGCUAUGAAACUGUGGCGCUAGCUGCAGUGGAGCCAUCCUUGAAAUACCACCCUGUCGUGCUUGACGUUCUAACCUAGAUCCGUUAUCCGGAUCAGGGACCGUGUAUGGUGGGUAGUUUGACUGGGGCGGUCUCCUCCUAAAGAGUAACGGAGGAGCACGAAGGUACGCUCAGCGCGGUCGGACAUCGCGCACUGUGUGCAAAGGCAUAAGCGUGCUUGACUGCAAGAUCGACGGAUCAAGCAGGUACGAAAGUAGGUCUUAGUGAUCCGGUGGUUCUGUAUGGAAGGGCCAUCGCUCAACGGAUAAAAGGUACUCCGGGGAUAACAGGCUGAUACCGCCCAAGAGUUCAUAUCGACGGCGGUGUUUGGCACCUCGAUGUCGGCUCAUCACAUCCUGGGGCUGUAGUCGGUCCCAAGGGUAUGGCUGUUCGCCAUUUAAAGUGGUACGCGAGCUGGGUUCAGAACGUCGUGAGACAGUUCGGUCCCUAUCUGCCAUGGGCGUUGGAAGUUUGAGAGGGGCUGCUCCUAGUACGAGAGGACCGGAGUGGACGAACCUCUGGUGUUCCGGUUGUCACGCCAGUGGCAUUGCCGGGUAGCUAUGUUCGGAAGCGAUAACCGCUGAAAGCAUCUAAGCGGGAAGCGCGCCUCAAGAUGAGACUUCCCGGGGCACAAGCCCCCUAAAGGAACCAUAUAGACUAUGUGGUUGAUAGGUCAGGUGUGUAAGUACAGCAAUGUAUUGAGCUAACUGAUACUAAUGAUCCGUGCGGCUUGACCAU